GUCCCACACAAGUUAAGUCACACAGCCACGAACAGAAUCCAGGCUGUCUGGCUCCAGAAUCCAAACUCCUAACUUCCAGGAUCUAUCAUACAUUAUCAGGCUUGUGUCAGAAAAAUCUAGGUAAUCGGAACUGGUAACUUGUCACUAGUGAACUUGUCACUGGACCCUUGACUUGAGCAGAAAAGUGUGUGCAGUGCAGUCAGGGAAAAAGCAGGAAGUGGGGAAAACAUCAGACGAACUCAGAUUGAGAGGCUUUCUGCAAAAUAUCUGAUCAGUCCUCUUUGAAAGGGUGCAGGUCAUGGGAGACAGGAAAAGACCAGGGAAUGCUCAGUCAGGAGGGGGUGAUGGAGCCGUGGAUGCAGGGUGGGACCCUGGAUUAGACAGAGUCUUCACACAGGGCAGCGGGCAGAGUCUAAGCUCUCCUUCCACAGUCCUUGCGGCAGGCAGGUGGCUGAGCUGUGAUCUACAGUCUAUUAUGACAUAAAGUGGGAUCAGAGGAAGCUGGGUCUACAGAAUGCGGAGAUUCUAUGUGUUCUUCUGGCAAUUGUUCUGUAAGACUCAGAGUAAAAAUAACUGUUAACAAAAUCCCAAUGACAGGAGAAUCAAAGCUGUCGCCAUUCUCGGUUUAUAAACUAACCUGCCUACCCUCGUUAUUAUAAUCAAAUUAUAUUGCUCCCACUCACGCAUGUGAAUAAGUGCUCAUCUUGAUGUGACAUUAAACCACUUUUAAAUGGUGAAUAAUAAUUUUUUUAAAACCAGCAAUGUUUACGCUCAGCAAACUGGAUCUGCUUCAGUAGGACAGAUUACUUACAGAUGGCUCUGUCAUCCUUCCCGCUCUGACUCACGUCCCCGCCAAAUCUACUUGAGUCCCACAUGCUGAUGGCUGCUGCCGAGACGGGGAGCCACUCAGAAGGAGGGCAUGGGUCACUUGGAGGCAGGAGGCAGCACCCAGAAAUGCAGCAGGACUCUACACUGAGGAAUGGGCAAGCCAGGGGGACAGCUGAGCACCAGAAAGAAAUGGAGAAACUGAGGCACGAGUCCCUUUCCUACGUGAGCUCUGAACGAAUAGGCACCGAAGGCACUAACUGCUGAAUGAGGCAUCUGGUCUUACCCUGAGAUAACAGGGCACAUCAAGUUCUUGAGCUCCUGGAGAGACUGAAGCCACCUGAUCAUAAAAGUGUCAGGAUAAAAAGGACCAUUGCCAACAUUCGCUCCCCUGACCCUGAACAUCCCCUUCCUAUGGAUUAGAAUAGAUAACGAGGCGAAUCUUAAAGGUACACUCCCAACUGCAAAGAACUGUUACAUCUGGGUUGAAAAGAUUAACUACUUUGUGACUAUGAUGUGAACUGUGAGAAUGAAAUGUAGCUACCCAAAUGAAGCCAAGGCUGUGAAACCCUAUAAAAGGAGGAGUUGUAUGUAGCCCAGGGCGUCGUCAGUCCAGGGCUUAUGUGCAAUCGACCCUUAUCGAUGAGUAAACUUGUUAUUUUGCUUCCAUUCCACGCCUCUCUGUGGGUCACUUACUGAUUCCUUCCAUAACAUCCUUCUCUUAUUGCUUCUCUCACUCCUUCCUGGCCACCAUGAUGUCAGCAGCUCUCCUUCCACCAUAAUGUUUCUUCACGGGACUACCAACCAUGGACUGAAACUUCAGCAAUCGUUGAGUCAGAAAUAAAGCGCUCCUCCUUUAACGUGUCCAUGUCAGGAACUGUGUCUCAG
rnacentral:lncRNA from 1 species